UGAAACAGUUCGAUUACCCACGAGAAAGCAGAUGUUAGUCCUCGUACCUUUUGCAUCAUGCUCUAGCCAGCAAAAUUCGAGCAAAGUGCCCUCUAGUUCGCAACCCCGAAACCCGACGAGCUACCUCGGGACAGUUUUAUAGAACCAACCCACUCCUGUGGCAAAAGGAGGGGACGAUCCCCAGGUAGAGGUGAAAGGCCUACCGAGUCCGGUUAUAGCUGGUUGCUUGAGAGAUGAAUAGAAGUUCAGCCUCGCAAACCCUCCGGCCAAAACAGUACCCCUUAAACUAGGCAAAGAGUUUAACAUGCGAGAGUUAGUCUAGAGAGGUACAGCUCUCUUGACCUUGGAAACAACCCCCACGGGAGACUAAGGAAUAUAAUUACCAAAGGUGAAGGGUUUAGGUGGGCCUAAAAGCAGCCACCCCAAUAGAAAGCGUUACAGCUCAGACCCUAUAAUGCCUAAUAUACCAUUAACUGAUCCGCCCUCCCCAAAAGUAUCGAGCCCUCCUAUGCCAUCAUAGGAUAAGACCCUGCUAGAACGAGUAACAAGAAGAAUGAGCUUCUCCCCACGCCCGUGUACCCCGGAACGGACCAGCCGCCGGCAAUUAACGAACCCAACGCAAGAGGGAAGCGUAUCUAAGCCAGACAGCAGCCAAGAAAAAGGUACGCCAGAUAUCGUUGACCCCACACAGGAGUGUGUCCAGGAAAGAUCGUAUGGAGGAAAAGGAACUCGGCAAGCACAAACCCCGCCUGUUUACCAAAAACAUCGCCUUCUGUUAUAUAACUAUAGGAGGUCCCGCCUGCCCUGUGACUAGAAGUUUAACGGCCGCGGUAUUUUAACCGUGCAAAGGUAGCGCAAUCAAUUGUCUUUUAAAUGAAGACCUGUAUGAAUGGCAUCACGAGGGUUUAACUGUCUCUUUCUCCCGAUCAGUGAAACUGAUCUGCCCGUGCAGAAGCGGGCAUAACCCCACAAGACGAGAAGACCCUAUGGAGCUUUAGGCUUUUUACCAGCUGCAAGAAGCGCGCACACAGCCUGCGUUCACCCUCCGCAAUAUUGGAUUAAAUGCCUUCGGUUGGGGCGACCACGGGAGAUAGAGAAGCUCCCGAGUGGAUUGGGGGAAACUCCAGAGCUCAGAGGAACCCCUCUAAGCAACAGAAAAUCUGACCUUCAAUGAUCCGGCCAAGGCCGAUCAACGGACCAAGUUACCCUAGGGAUAACAGCGCAAUCCCCUCCCAGAGUCCAUAUCGACGAGGGGGUUUACGACCUCGAUGUUGGAUCAGGACAUCCUAAUGGUGCAGACGCUAUUAA
rnacentral:rRNA from 1 species